CCCUUAGAUGUUCUGGGCCGCACGCGCGCUACACUGACGAAUGCAACGAGCUUAUAACCUUGGCCGAAAGGUCUGGGUAAUCUCCAAAUUUCGUCGUGAUGGGGAUAGAUUAUUGCAAUUAUUAAUCUUCAACGAGGAAUGCCUAGUAAGCGCAAGUCAUCAGCUUGCGUUGAUUACGUCCCUGCCCUUUGUACACACCGCCCGUCGCUCCUACCGAUUGAAUGGUCCGGUGAAGCGUUCGGACCGUGGCCUUUGGACGGUUCGCCGGCUGUUGGCUGCGGGAAGUUCGUUAAACCUUAUCAUUUAGAGGAAGGAGAANUCGUANCA
rnacentral:rRNA from 1 species